UACGUAGGGUGCUAGCGUUGUCCGGAUUUAUUGGGCGUAAAGAGCGUGUAGGCGGCCAAACAGGUCAGCUGUGAAAACUCGAGGCUCAACCUCGAGACGUCGGUUGAAACCGUUUGGCUAGAGUCCGGAAGAGGAGAGUGGAAUUCCCGGUGUAGCGGUGAAAUGCGCAGAUAUCGGGAAGAACACCCGUGGCGAAGGCGGCUCUCUGGGACGGUACUGACGCUGAGACGCGAAAGCGUGGGGAGCGAACAGG
rnacentral:rRNA from 1 species